UAGAGUUUGAUCAUGGCUCAGAACGAACGCUGGCGGCAGGCCUAACACAUGCGAGUCGAGCGCUACCUUCGGGUGGAGCGGCGGACGGGUUAGUAACGCGUGGGAAUAUACCCAGUUCUAAAAAAUAGCCACUGGAAACGGUGAGUAAUACCUUAUACGCCCUCCGGGGGAAAGAUUUAUCGGAAUUGGAUUAGCCCGCGUUAGAUUAGAUAGUUGGUGGGGUAAUGGCCUACCAAGUCUACGAUCUAUAGCUGGUUUGAGAGGAUGAUCAGCAACACUGGGACUGAGACACGGCCCAGACUCCUACGG
rnacentral:rRNA from 1 species